CUUGGGCCUAGCUGAAGAUGGGGCUUCUACCCCGGAGGACGAGGCGGGCGAGCGAGCACUGGGAAACGACUCUGCCGCAGCACAAUUAACACCACCCACCAACCCUCCGUCCCGCGUGCGAUGCGGCACCCACGUCCAGGGUCCACGUUUCCCUUAGAGGCGUUAGCAUGUCUGCGUGGAGCUCAAGUAAAGAAAACCCCGGAAAUGCCCCAUGGUUCACUCUUGGCAGCUUUCAAAACUGCUGGAAAAAUCCAGAGAGUUUCCAAGAAGCCGCCAGAGGAGCUCACAACCUGCCCGGAUCUCUGGCGGCCGCCUGUGAGCUUUUCUC